GAAAUCGUCAUAGAAGGCGGUCAUAUUCACUGUCUAUAAAUCCAAAAUUUUGAAUGAAUAAAUUCGGUCUUUUCAUCGACAAAACGUUUGUUUAUAUUUUAUAUGUCAUUGAUGAAAGAUAAGAUUAAAGCCAAGACAAUUCCCACAAGUGCGAAGCCCCAGGCAUCACAAGCGUAAUGUACCUAUUAUAUCCCCAAAAUCAUAUCCAUGCAAAAGCAGUUAUUUCAAUAAAACUUACUUUGGCAACUUAGCAAGGAGUUCCGAUAUCUUGUGCACUAAGAACUCCCGAUCGGAUAUAUUCCCGAACAAGAAGCUGGUGUGAUGAGAAGUGGUGAUGAGUAUACUGCCAGAGUCUCCUGAACUACCAGCGCCUCCAGAGUCCGCCCGCUCCACUUGGUGGACAUUGCGUAGAGGAAUCGUUAAGCGAACUAAGUUACG